GAAGGCUUUAGGGUCGUAAACUCCUUUUAAUAGACCCUUCACGGUCUAUAGAAUAAGCACCUACUAACUACGUGCCAGAAGUCUCGGUAAUACGUAGGGUGCAAGCGUUAUCCGGAUUUACUGGGCGUAAAGAGUGUGUAGGCGGUCUACCAAGUCGUAGCUUAAAUCCCGGGGCUCAACCCCGGUCUUGGUUACGAUACUGGCUGACUUGAAGAUUAUUCGGGGUACUGGAACAGUUGGUGUAGUGGUGAAAUACGUUGAUAUCAACUGGAACACCGAAGGCGAAGGCAGGUACCUAUGAUUUUCCUGACGCUGAGAUACGAAAGCUAGGGUAGCGAAACAGAUUAGAGACCUGUGUAGUCCUAGCCGUAAACGAUGGAUGCUAGCUAGUGUGCAAGCACUGGCGUAAGCUAACGCGUUAAGCAUCCCGCCUGGGGAGUACGACCGCAAGGUUAAAACUCAAAGGAAUUGGCGGGGAGGCACACAACCAGAGGAACAUGUGGUUCAAUUCGAAACGAACCGAACACCUCACCAGGGUUUGACAUGUAGCUGCAAGUCCUAUGAAAGUAGGAUGUCUUCGAGAGUGCUACACAGGUGCUGCAUGGCUGUCGUCAGUUCGUUCCGUGAGGAGUGCCCUUAAGUGGGACAACGAACGCAACCCGCAUCUUAUGUUACAAGUGUCAUAAGAAACUGCCCCCGAGUUCUCGGGGGAGGAAGGAGCGGCAGACGUCAAGUCAGCAUGGUCCUUACACCCUGGGAUACACACACCCUACAAUGGCGAAGAACAAUGGGCUGCAAGCUAGCAAUAGCAAGCUAAUCUCAGAAAUUUCGCCUCAGUUCAGAUCGAGGUCUGAAAUUCGACCUCUUGAAGUUGGAAUUGGUAGUAAUCGCGGAUCAGCGGGCCGCGGUGAAUACGUUAUCGGGUCUUGUACACACCGCCCGUCAAGGCAGCAAAGUCGAUAACUAUCGAAGGUCGCGUAAGCGGACGAGAUAGAGAUUGAUGAUGAGGCUUAAGUCGUAACAAGGUAUCCCUAGCCGAAGCUGGGGAUG
rnacentral:rRNA from 1 species